rnacentral:sRNA from 13 species
GCUGGGCACGGUGGUGCGUGCCUGUAAUCCCAGCUGCUCGGGAGGCUGAGGCAGGAGAAUUGCCUGAACCCAGGAGGCGGAGAUUGCGGUGAGCCGAGAUCGCGCCAUUGCACUCCAGCCUGGGUAACAAGAGCGAAACUCCGUCUCAAAAAAAAAAAAAAACACGUUUUUUUUUUGAGACAGAGUUUCUCCCUUGAUGCCAGGCUAGAGUGCAAUGGUGUGAUCUCAGCUCACUGCAACCUCUGCCUCCCGGAUUCAAGUGAUUCUCCUGCCUCAG